rnacentral:misc_RNA from 1 species
UUGCUCUUGUAUUUGAAGCAUUUAAAGACAUUUUUUUUUUAAUCUGUCCCUCUUCACCAUAUAUUUCCUUUUUAAUGUUCAUCAUAUUGAAAAUUAAGUUUACCCUGUCAUGCAUGGAAUUCUUCAACAAAUGUGUAGAUGCCCUUGUCAUGCGGCAGCAUGUAGUUGAGAUUUGCAGAAGCAUGUUGCAAAUCUUGAUAUUUCUGUCUUUUUCUCUCAAGAAAAUGUGAUUGAGAGUGAUGUGCAGCUAUCACAGGCACAUAGAGGUUUGCAAUGAAGCUGAAGUGUUUUAAUGGAACCUCCCACAACCAUACUUCAGAUCGACAGUUGACUUCCAAUUGUUGCAUCAGAUUUUGAUAGCCCUAUUGAAAUUUUCAUGAAAUUGCUUAGAAUAAGUCAGUUGUUUAACUUUUAAGUGAUGCAGUUCAAAAUUUUAGCUUCAGCAUUAAUGAUUAUGUAUGAAUUGGUUAUUAAUGAUCGUCAAAUGAUUAAAUCUGGGUAAAGGCCAGGUCAAUGAUAAUGGCAUUUCCCAACUUUCUAUUGUCAUUCUGUACUGGUAAGUUUUCAGAAAUUGUCUGGCAUUGGAAGGAAGUAAGAGACUCCACUAGUUCCCUUUUAUGAGUGAAUAAAGAAUGAAGUAGCUGUCAUCUAUAGAAUUUAUUGGAGUAUAGAAUCAUUGCUUUUGCUCUUCUAUUCUUGUGUGGAGGUUAAAUUUUUCAUUUUUUACAUUUUUAUCUGCUCAAGUUUCUCAUUUCAUAUACUUGUCAUGAAUCUUGGAUGCCAAUAUAUUGAUGUGAGGAAUGCUAUGUAUGAGAUAUUGUGAACUUCAACUGAGAGCUCAUCUUUUGAUGCAGCUUGUUAAAUUUGGCUGAGAUUGCAGAUGGGCAUCUAGCUUUUGCUUCACAAAAGGAUGAGCGUCAAUUAAGUGUUUCAAACACCAAGUAUAAUGGAAGUAGUAGUGGCAGACCACCCCGGAAAAGUUCUGCAUCAAGAAGAACAAAGAAGGAGGAUGAGAGUGAAAUUUCUCAAUCCUCUGAUGGCAAACUUCCCAUGUCACCUAAACAAGAAGAGAUCAUUUCCCUGUUCAGGCGGAUACAGUCCUCAAUCUCAAAGGGAGAGGGGAAAGAGGCUAAGAGUACCAAGCAGACAAAUCACAACUUGUCUCCAACUGAAUCAAUUGUGGAGAUUCUUCGUCAAUCAAAGAAGCCAAUAAAAGGCACCAAAAUUCAUGUUUAUCUGGAUCUGCUCCUGAUAAAAAAAUCCAAAGGUCCCACGAGAAUAAUUACCAAGAUGAUGAAAAAGAGAUUGUUGCCUGUGCAGUUUCUGUCAAUGAUAACCCAAAAUGAUGAAUUCUCAUAUCAGCAUCAUCAAACAGUACUCAAUAGUUCAUACAUCAUUCAAAGCAGCAGCAGAAACUGCCAAAACAUCAUUAUUGUGAAUGUAGUGUCUAAUAGAGUUAAAUAUAACUAAUCUCAAUUAAUUUAAGAUUAAGGCUAAGUUAUUAUUCUGUUGUAUAUUUAAUAAUAUUAACAAGUGCUUGAAAGAGUUCUAUUAGGAAGCUGCUUAACAAGUUGCAUAAUGAGGUUUCAGAGUUGAAUAUCAAGCUGCUUCAACUGAGGGAGAGCUAUCAUUUAACAAACUCAGCCAACUAUCCACAACCAAAAUUUUUACAUCUAGCUUUAUCUACCUAAUGUAUAUCCUUACUUUAAUCUGAGCAAGAAAAUGUUCAUAUCUGAAUUUUGUAUGCAACAGAAAAUAAAUUUACAGAUGAAUUUAGAAACUGACAACUUGUUCACCGAGGUCCAGAAAGCUCCAUUGCUUCAAUGAUGAAUGAAGAUUCUUCAUGUAUAUCACUGUAAUUUCUUGAGAAACUGCAAACCCUUGCCUCAUAAAUAUUGGAUCCACCUUGUGAUUCUUCUGUUCCUGACUGUCCAACAAGACCUUCCAAGACUUUCAAGACUUCGGACAUUUUUGGACGCAGGUUCGGAUGUGACUGAGUACACUGCAUAGCCAAUUCCACUGCCUUUUCCAGUUCUUCUGCAUCAAAACAUCCCUUCAGAUCCCUAUCAACUAAAACUUCCAACCUCUUCUCCUCAUGCAAGGUCCUAACCUGUGCAACUCGACCAUUAUUACUAAUUUAUGCUUGGUGCACAAGUUUAGAAAUAAAUGGCUAUGAUAGUCUGAGUAUUAUUGUUAUCAUAUAAAGUAGCCAGAUUGUUUUUGCUAAGCAGAGAUCAAUCUUACAAAUGGACAAAUAAAUAUGAUAGAGACAUUAUUAUAUUAUUAUAACCUACAUUUGCAAUGGCUGAAACCCUCUUUAGCAAGUAUCAUAAAAGAUAAAUCCCUCAGUUCUUAAAUUACAAGGGAUGAUGGGCAAAGCAGCUCAAAUAUGUAGGAAUAAUGCAUUCUCCUUCCUACAACAGUAUAUACAGAGAGAACAAAACAUGGAAUUUAUGUCAGCCCUUUUUUUUUUAAAUUGGAAUAUACGUCAGCUUGAUUUUUGUGUUCAACUAAAAAAUAUUCAGUUUCUGAGUUAGACAACUGUUAGGCAAUUCUAACUGAAAAUAUUUCAAUUUGAGAAGCAUUAUCCAGUUCAAGCAGUUCAUAUCAGAAUAAUUCUCAUCGAAUUUAGACUACCAUCAUAACUAUAAUCAUGGAUUGUUGACUAAAGAAUUACAUAUUGAUAUUAUCUGGUUUCCAGUUUCUACAGGUAUCUACAGGUUUACAGGAACAUUUUGCUGCACUACUAUCAACCAGCACCUCAAAAUGAAAUUGUAAAACGCGUGUCCAAACCUAGAGCAAUGCAUGAAAUUACUUACCCAGUCCAGCAUUUAAUGCUUUUUGCCCUGUUAUGAAUUCCAAAAGUAGUAUACCAAAUCCGAAGACAUCUGUUUUUUCAGAAGAUUGCCCAGUUGAAAGAUACUCAGGAGCAAUAUGACCCACAGUACCCCGCACUGCAGUAGUGACAUGUGAAUCUCUUUGAUCUAAUAGCUUAGCAAGACCAAAAUCUCCAACUAUAGCUUCAAAACUUUCAUCAAGUAAAAUGUUUGCUGCUUUGACAUCCCUGUGAAUUAUUUUUGGAUUACACUGUUCAUGCAUGUAUAGAAGUCCACGGGCAGCCCCAAGAGCAAUAUGAAUUCGUCUGUUCCAAUCCAAUGAUGGUUUUUCUCGAUAAGCCUCUCUCAAGCGGUCAGCAACACUGCCAUUUGGCAUAUAUGGAUAUACAAGCAACCUCUCAUCAGUUGUCAUACAGAAGCCAUACAAUCGUAGGAGGUUUCGAUGCAAUGCCAAGCCAAUCAUUUCAACUUCAGUUUGGAACUGCACUUCUCCAGUAUAAUUUGGAUCUUUCAGCCUCUUAACUACUACCAAUGUCUUAUUUGGAAGACAUCCCUUGUAAACCACCCCAAACCCACCUUGACCUAAGAUAUUUUUAGAGUUGAAGUUGCCAGUAACAAGUUGCAGUUCACGAAAUGAAAACCUUUUUAAAUGCCCAAUGUGAAAUUCAUAAUCUUGCUGCACUGCAAAAUGUAAUUAUCACACAUUUCUCAUAAUAUUUACCUUCAUCUAUAUGCUUGAUGUUGGCUAAAAAUAAAAGAAAUUUAGGUUUAGAAAGUACCAUGUGAUGUAAAAAGUAGGUGAGACCGGUACCAAGGCACCCAACAAACAAGCAGCAUUACAAAAAUCACAAAUGUGCAACUGACACCUAUUGCAACAGAAAGCGCCCACCGAUGGUGAUAACUGGCUUUCUGAGAUGAAAUUGUCUCUGCAAUAAUACAUCUAUUCAUAUUGCAUAGUUUUGUUGUUAAGAUGAAAGUUUACCAAAAACUGUUCAACAGGUUAAUUCCAUUUACCAUUCCCUGGCUUUGGAGCUCCCAUGCAAAUUUGUGCAGGUGAGGAGGAACAAAGAAAGCUAUUCCCUGUAAUGCUGCAAUAAAAACACAUACCCCUUUAAAUAGACGAAGACCGAAAAAUCAAAGAGGACUUUCAGUUCAACAACUCCUGAAAACCCAAAACAAUAAUAGUUGCACACUACUGCUCAACACAAAUGGCUUGAAAGUUCUCAGCUACCGAUGAACCAUUGCUAAUAGUUCAAUGAUUUUGAGAUUUUCUAACUUAAAAAAAAAAAAAAGAGGAAGCACACUUGAUAGCAGGGUAAUAGCUUGAAUAGAGAUUUUAAUUGUUGCAUAGCAUUGCCAGAAUAAUUUGAGCUUCAUAUGCUCAAUCAAUAAUAGACAGAAGGUGCUGCUAAAUUGCAAAAAAAUUUCGUACAUUUGUAUCAAUUGAUUGAUUAUGGAUAAGAUAAAAUGCAGUUCCACUAAAUUAUCUCACUUGUAGCCUUUUACAAAUAUUUUUGGGGUUGGACCACUGAGAUUGUUAAAUGAUAAAUCCCUGCAUUAUAUUGGCAAGACAAACCUUAAUUAUCUUCCAAAACCCAUCAAGAAAAGAAUAGCAGAUGUCUGAUGGAACAUACAAAAACAGAAGUCCAGAAAGAUUGGCUACAAGUACAGGAAUCUGUCCUGAUAACUUGUUUCUACUGAGCCUCAAGGAACUUAGAUGGGUCAGAAAACCCAAAGAGCUCGGAAUAUCUCCAGCAAAUUGGUUACCUGAAAGGUCCAAAGCCUGAAGCUCUAAAAGCUUUCCUAUCACUGCUGGAAUGGGACCAGUUAACUGAUUGUUCUGCAAUAGCCUGCAAGUAAAUUGCACAAAGGAUGCAACAGACAGUAUCAAGGCAUCAAGGCACCAAUUACUCCGUUCGCGUCCAGCAAUCAGAAUUAGAACAAACUAACAAUACCCAAAAACCAGCAAUGAAUUCAAAAAUUAUCAGAAGAAAAGAAUUCAGAGCCAAAAAAAAUUCGGGUAGCAAUCAAGUGAAGUAGAGAAUGAAAAUAAAGAGAAAGCAAACUUGCAUUGUCCUCAACUGACUCAAAUUCCCAAUACUGGGUGAUAGCGUCCAUGAUAAACCCAUGCUUUCCAUUUCAAGGGAAAUGACAAAGCCUUCAACAGAGCAACCGACCAUGUUCCAAGUGCAGGGAUCUACGGAGUUUAUAUACCAACCGUCCAUUACCAUGAAUUUAUCUACCAUGUCUCUCUUCACCGCCAUCAAUGCCGCCGCUUCAUAGUUAACACCUUUGGGAGAGAGCACAAGACCAUCAGAGGCUAGAGUAAAAUCCACCCAAAACAACAAGAAACAGAACAAAAUGGAGGCCUUUAUAAUUUACACUUCCCAAUAAGAAAAUAGCUGAAAAUUUUUACUGGGUUUCUGACCGCCCAAAAUCAAAAUUGUCUGGCUUGUAGAGUUGAGUCUGAACAUUAUAUUAAAGCAGCAGUAUUAACGGCUGCAAUGCAGCUGCAGAAUUGGACUUUCUUGCCAGUUCCUUGACUGAAUGAUAAUUUUAGGAAUCUUUCUUUUCCUCGAGAAAAGGCAUUUGAAAUUGCAUAAAGUAAUACAGUACUAUUAUAUCUUUUAAAAUAUGGAACCAUAGGCAAGAAAUUGAGUAGAGAGACUUUUUCUUUUAUUAAAAAUUGCUGUUUU